rnacentral:rRNA from 1 species
AAUCAACGCUGGCGGCGUGCCUAACACAUGCAAGUCGAACGCGAAAGCCCCGCAAGGGGCAAGUAGAGUGGCAAACGGGUGAGUAACACGUGGGUGACCUGCCUUAGAGUGGGGGAUAACGUCCCGAAAGGGACGCUAAUACCGCAUAACAUCCUGCCUUUGAAGAGGUGGAGAUCAAAGCCGGGGACGCAAGGCCUGGCGCUCAAAGAGGGGCCCGCGCCUGAUUAGCUAGUUGGUGAGGAAUGGCUCACCAAGGCAACGAUCAGUAUCCGGCCUGAGAGGGCGGACGGACACACUGGGACUGAGACACGGCCCAGACUCCUACGGGAGCAGCAGUGGGGAAUAUUGGACAAUGGGCGCAAGCCUGAUCCAGCGAUGCCGCGUGUGUGAAGAAGGCCUGCGGGUUGUAAAGCACUUCAGUAGGAAGAAAGCCGAGUGCUAAUAUCACUCGGUCUUGACGUUACUUACAGAAGAAGCACCGGCUAACUCCGUG